GGAAGAUGGAACUGAACCAGCAGAUGGAGAACUCUUCAGAAGCUUGGUUGGAGGUUUGACAUAUUUAACCCAUACAAGACCUGACAUCGCUUUUUCUGUUGGUUUGAUAUCAAGAUUCAUGCAUUCACCAACUAAACAUCACCUUGGAGUAGCCAAGAGAGUCUUAAGAUACAUUGCCGGGACUGUUGAUUUCGAAAUCUGGUAUGGAAAAAGUACCAACUGGAGGUUAAUUGGGUACACAGAUAGUGAUUGGGCUAGCUGUAUGGAUGACAUAAAAAGCACUACAGGGUUUGUGUUUAGUCUCGGGACAGGAGCUAUCAGCUAGAGCUCAAAAAAGCAGGCAACAACAGCUUUGUCCUCAUCUGAGGCAGAAUACAUGGCAGCAGCUGCUUCAGCGUGUCAAGCAGUAUGGCUAAGAAGAGUUUUGGAAGACUUUGGACAAGGACAAGAGGGUGCUACUGAAGUACUGUGCAAUAACAAGUCAGCUAUAUUAAUGUCCAGAAUCCAGUACGUCAUGGUCGCACUAAACACAUCGACAUCAAGGUGCAUUUCAUUAGGGAGCUGGUAUCAAAGGGCGAAAUCAAACUUGAGUACUACAGCACUGAAGCUCAAGUAGCUGAUAUACUGACGAAGUCACUUCCAGGAUACAAGCAUGAGCAGAUGAGAAAGAAGCUUGGAGUUUGUCGUUUUGAAUCAAGGGAGGGUGUUGAAAUAUGAUUCAAAACUGUUAACGUGUUGUCCUGAUAUUUAGGAAGUUGUUA
rnacentral:misc_RNA from 1 species